rnacentral:rRNA from 1 species
CCCUUAGAUGUUCUGGGCUGCACGCGCGCUACACUGAAGCUAUCAACACGUUUUCCCUCCCUGAGAAGGGCGGGUAACCUUUUGAAUCAGCUUCGUGGUAGGGAUCGGGUCUUGCAAUUGUUCCCCGUGAACCAGGAAUUCCUAGUAGACGCGAGUCAUAAGCUCGCAUCGAUUAAGUCCCUGCCCUUUGUACACACCGCCCGUCGCUACUACCGAUUGAACGUUUUAGUGAGGCAUUUGGACCGACGCAUCUCAGUUUAACCGCUGGUUUGUGUUGGAAAGACUUCCAAACUUGAGCGUUUAGAGGAAGUAAAAGUCGUAACA